rnacentral:rRNA from 1 species
UGAACGCUGGCGGCGUGCCUAAUACAUGCAAGUCGAGCGAACGGACGAGAAGCUUGCUUCUCUGAUGUUAGCGGCGGACGGGUGAGUAACACGUGGAUAACCUACCUAUAAGACUGGGAUAACUUCGGGAAACCGGAGCUAAUACCGGAUAAUAUUUUGAACCGCAUGGUUCAAAAGUGAAAGAUGGGCUUGCUGGCAAUUAUAGCUGGAUCCGCGCUGCAUUAGCUAGUUGGUAAGGUAACGGCUUACCUAGGCAACGAUGCAUAGCCGACGUGAGAGGGUGAUCGGCCACACGGGAACUGAGACAGGCUCCAGACUCCUACGGGAGGCAGCAGUAGGGAAUCUUCCGCAGUGGGCGAAAGCCUGACGGAGCAACGCCGCGUGAGUGAUGAAGGUCUUCGGAUCGUAAAACUCUGUUAUUAGGGAAGAACAUAUGUGUAAGUAACUGUGCACAUCUUGACGGUACCUAAUCAGAAAGCCACGGCUAACUACGUG